ensembl:misc_RNA Metazoa_SRP Metazoan signal recognition particle RNA
GCUGGGUGUGGUGGCUCACACCUGUAAUCCUAGUACUUUAGGAGGCUGAGGCGGGUGGAUCACCUGAGGUCAGGAGUUUAAGACCAGCCUGACCAAUAUGGUGAAACCCCAUCUCUA